rnacentral:rRNA from 1 species
UACGUAGGGUGCAAGCGUUGUCCGGAUUUAUUGGGCGUAAAGAGCUCGUAGGCGGUUCAGUAAGUCGGGUGUGAAAACUCUGGGCUCAACCCAGAGAUGCCACCCGAUACUGCUGUGACUUGAGUACGGUAGGGGAGCAGGGAAUUCCUGGUGUAGCGGUGAAAUGCGCAGAUAUCAGGAGGAACACCGAUGGCGAAGGCAGGUCUCUGGGCCACUACUGACGCUGAGAAGCGAAAGCAUGGGGAGCGAACAGG